ACCACCCGGUAAGGUCCCGGAAUUGUGAUUAAGUGUGAAAGGAUUUGGAAAUUCCUAAACAGCCGGGAGGUUGGCUUAGAAGCAGCCAUCCUUUAAAGAUAGCGUAACAGCUCACCGGUCUAAUAGAGUUUCUGCGCCGAAGAUGUAACGGGGCUCAAAUCACAUACCGAAUCUGUGGGUUUAUAAAAUUUUUGAAUUUUAUAAGCGGUAGCGGAACGUUCUGUAAGCCUGUAAAGGGAUACCCGUGAGGGAUCCUGGAGGUAUCAGAAGUGCGAAUGCUGACAUAAGUAACGAUUAACAGAGUGAAAAACUCUGUCGCCGAAAAUCCAAGGGUUCCUGCGCAAGGUUAAUCCGCGCAGGGUUAGUCGGCCCCUAAGAUGAGGGCGAAAGCCGUAGUCGAUGGAAAUAAGGUUAAUAUUCCUUAACCAGAUGGUAGUGACGAAUCUUGUAAGUUGUGAGUUCUUAAUGGAUUGAACUUGCCGCGAAAAGGUUCCAAGAAAUAGCUCCAUCAUAAGACCGUACCCUAAACCGACACAGGUGGAUUAAUAGAGUAUAUUUAGGCGCUUGAGAGAAUGAUGUUGAAGGAACUCGGCAAAAUGCUUCUGUAACUUCGGAAUAAAGAAGACCUUUUUAUGGGCAACCAUCUAAAGGUGGCACAAGCCAGGGAGAAGCGACUGUUUAUCAAAAACACAGGGCUCUGCUAACACGUAAGUGGAUGUAUAGGGUCUGACGCCUGCCCGGUGCUGGAAGGUUAAUGCGAUGGGUGCAAGCUCAUUUCUGAAGCCCCAGUAAACGGCGGCCGUAACUAUAACGGUCCUAAGGUAGCGAAAUUCCUUGUCGGGUAAGUUCCGACCCGCACGAAAGGUGUAACGAUUUGCGCGCUGUCUCGGAGAGAGGCUCGGCGAAAUAGAAUUGUCUGUGAAGAUGCGGACUACAUACACCCGGACAGAAAGACCCUAUGAAGCUUUACUGUAGUUUGAUAUUGUGCUCGGGCUCUGAAUGCGCAGAAUAGGUGGGAGACGUUGAAAUAGUGCUUGUGGGUACUAUUGAGUCAUCGGUGAGAUACCACUCUUUUAGAGCUAGAGUUACUGUCUCUUAUACCGAUCUGACGCUGCCGACGAGCAGUAGAGUGUAGAUGACGGUGGUGGCCUGUCAGUAUGAGAGAACAAACAAGCGUAGGAA
rnacentral:rRNA from 1 species